CCCUGCUUCGGCUCGCGCACGGUGCGCACACACACAGGCCUGCGCCCACUGUCUGGCACUCCCUAGUGAGAUGAACCCGGUACCUCAGAUGGAAAUGCAGAAAUCACCCGUCUUCUGUGUCGCUCACGCUGGGAGCUGUAGACCGGAGCUGUUCCUAUUCGGCCAUCUUGGCUCCUCCUCUGUACCAGGAAACACCUUAGUGUCAUAUUUCUGCAUUAAUCAUGGAAUCUAUUUUCAUUUAAAACCCCAAACAGAAGGUGUUGCAAAAAGACACUGGGAACACAGCAAUGAAUAAGACAGAUCCAAUCUUCAGGGGCCUCUAAUAUCUAGCAGCACUCAUCUACUCAAUCCUGAGGAAGAAGACAUUCACUUCCAGCUUUAUCCACUGAACAUUAUGUAACUUUUCUGUUGUUUACAGAAAGAUUGAGAACUGGAAAUUCCCACCAACUGGCAUUUGCUCUGUACUUAUUAAAGCAAAGUGUUACGUUAGGUGCUUUAUAGUAUGUAAAGAUGGUUAUGAUUCCCUGGGUGCAUAAUACGGUGAGAGAAAACAUAGGGAGACACAUGUACAGAGUGUGAUGAGGAGAAAGUCCAUCCUUUUCAGAGUGCCUCCCAAAGGAACAGGGAUUAGAUGGAACCCUUGUACAACUGUGUAGAGGGAGUUAUGGUGAGACCAUAUAUUAGGUCCUUUGUGAAGAAAGAGUAACUAGAGGAAAAUGCACAUUAAGGACUAAUGGAUUAAGGGAAGUUAUAGAAUAUGAUAAAAUAUAGAGCAAAUCCAGAUAGACUCUUACCAUCCUAUCCUGUAACUUCUCUGAUCUUUCAUGAAACUCCUCUUUGAACUCCCUCCUCCAGCCUCAGGAGUUAAAUCAACAAUCCCUAAUAUGCAUUUUACUCUAGCUACUUUUGAGAAUAUUCUCUUCAACUUUAAAAAUUGUCCUCAUCAUUCAGGGUUUUUCCAAAGCCUGGCCUACUCCACUGAGCCUUCCCCAACUACUGAACCAAUAUUACUAUCUUUCUUUCUAGAAUACAUGUGAUCCCCUUUGCUUCCUGAAACAAUCAUAUACAUACAGUUAUAUAUACCGAAUGCUUAUUGGCUUGAGUUUUCUCUCUCCAGAUGUUAAGUUACUUGAAGGAAGUCUUCCCAUUGUUAUAUCUUCCAUGAUGCUGAGCAAGGCAUGUAACGAGAACUAUAUUAACACUUAUUGCUUUGACCAGACAACAUAUCUUAGAGCUGUACAAUUUCCUUUCAAAUCCUCAUCAGCAAUUCAUUGUCUUACACUCUUAAGAGUCUUAAUUAAAUUUCUUCUUUCCUAGUAUUUAUUAACUACUCCUAUGUACAUAUGCCAACUAGUCCAAAAGAGAAAGGAAACUACAUAACUUUUAUUUCUAGGGAUGUGACUCAAGAUUGUUCCAAGCCUAACCCAAGCCUCAGUUCUCAGUUUCAUCAAGAAACAUGCUUGGUUUCUUGAUCCAAUAAAUUCACUGCACAUUCUCCUAUUCUUUGAAAUAACUGAAAUGGUGCAGUUUAUCUGCAGAAGGCUUCUUCAUUGAAGAAAAUAAAUGCAUUCACCAGUAAUUUUUCAUUUCUGCAGUGUAACUAUUUGAAAUUUCAAGAACAAUUCUACUGUUCAGCAUCCCUAAAUAUCCCAACUACAAAAUCCAUACUUUAAAAUACUAGUAAAAAAUCACCCAGCUAUCAAAGCGGGCACAAAUUUUGAAGAAACACUAAGCAUUUCCAUUCUAUGCACACUGCCCAUUAUAUUUCUUUGAAAGCAGAAAAAAAUAUGAUUUUUUCUCUUACCACCAAAAUGCAUUUGCAAAUUGGCUUUAGAAAAUGUUUAAAUAAUUAUUCGAUAGUGUGAAUUUACAGAGACUCCAACACUGUUUUUCCCUGACAGAUUGACAGUGCAUUAUAAAUUCCAACAAUUUAUAUUUUAAGGCCCCAGCUUCCUAUGUCUGCCAACCAUGUCCCAGGCUUGAGAAAUUAUGGUCGUUUAAUCAGGGUUGAGCGUUUCCAUGCUCAACCUUCAAGCAGUGAUGCUGUGCCAUGUUUUCACCAGUGAUAGAUGAAUCCACUUACACUACCGCCUCCUGCGUGACAGUACUUUAGAAGUCCUGCUAAAGUUCACAUUUCUCAAUAUAUCAAAGUUUAGCAGCACAAUGACCUUCUGAUAUUUGUUUUCAACAGUUUAUAACCAACAGUUCGUUACUUUCCCAAAACGAAGCGGAAGAGAGCCAGUAGAUGCUCACUCUAGCAGAGCAGGUGCCACAGCAUAUUCCAAGUCUGGAAAUUGAUUGCAGGGAAUUCUGUAAAGAAAAGUCUAGGACAGUGUUAACCUCUUAAGCCACUAAUGCCAGGAGAGCCAAAGAGUCAGAAUUACAACCUUCUUAUCUGUCUUUUACUGUAUUGCUGAAAGGAUGUAUGAAUCCUUUUCACGGCAUUUUCUCGACAUAUAGUUAGUUAUUUCUGUUGGACAUUGUCACUCAGCCACCUCCCUUGGUCACAGCCAUUUAAUCGAAAACCUUCUAGGAUAAUCCAGAGAUCUCAGCAGGGAAAACAUAUUUUCCUUUUACUUGGAUUUGAACUCUAAUAAUAUUUGGGCUUUCUCACUCUGAUGAAUGGCAUGGGAUUAUAUAUGAGUCCAAUAAGAUUCUUUUUGCCACUCAAGCUAGAACUAUAAAAAUAAUACCAAGUGGUUUUUGUUUUGUGUUUGUUUGUUUGUUUGUUUGUUUAACUCAAUAUCCUAAUUUGUCUCCAGGGUCUCAACUUUUUUCUUUUUUUGAGACAGGGUCUCGCUCUGUCAACCAGGCUGGAGUGCAGUGGCACGAUCAUAGCUUACUGCAGCCUCGAAAUCCUAGGCCCCAGUGAUCCUCCCUCCUCAUCCUCCCCAGUUAUGGGGACUGCAGGCAUGCACCACCACACCAGCUAAUUUAAAUUUUUUUCUUUUUAGUAGAGAUGAGGCAUCACUCUGUUGCUCAUGCUAGUCUUGAACUCUUGGGCUCAAGCAUUCCUCUUGCCUCAGCCUCCCAAAGCACUGGGAUUACAGAUGUGAGCCGCCACAACCAGCUUCAACAUUCUAAUGUAGAAAAGAAGCCCAAUUAGGUAUAUCUACAUAAAUUAAUAGUCACUAGCAUUCAUGUGGCAGCCACUACGCCCUCUUUCAUUUAAUUCACUCAAUUUAUCAAGGAAGUAGCUGGUGUUAUCACCUUCAUUUCACAGAGGAGGAGGCUGAAAAGGAAGCAUCUGAGCUUGCCUGUUCUCCAUGCUGUCAGAAAGUCACGGAUGUGACUCAUCUGCUGGGUAGCAGAACCUGUCUCUUGACCACUACCUUACACUGAGUAUUUUUCACCAAGAUUUAGCAGGAGAGGCACCUUAACCAUCCACAGAAUUCUUUCCUACCCCAGAGUUCACUCUGAGCCUGACAGCCUCAGAAUGUAUGUUUUUAUUUUCCGGAAAUGUGAUCCCAAACAGGACCUAGCCCCACAUCUGUCUUAUAACACCAAGUAUAUGAAAGGAAAAUGAGGGCAAGCACACCCAGAAAUCCCUCCAAAGACAUUUUGUGCAGAAGAACUGACUUUUUGCCCAUUUAUUUCUUUUCAGGAAACAGGGAUUAAUUGUGUCUGCCCAGUAUGGCAUGAAGGUUUCAUCACCUGUGGUAACUCCAGUUGAUUGAAGGUGGUUACAUGAAGAGAUAUGUUGGAACAAAUUGUGAGACACUGUUAGGGCUCUGCUGGCAAGUGUGGUUACCUAUGAGUAAUGACUACUAUGGGUGCUGAAGGUGUGAGGGAAGGUGCAAGUGCUUAGGUAUUUGCUGUCUAUAUCUUAAGUCUUCGGCAUAUAAUUACCACGUGUCCUUGGGAAGAAGGGAGGUCUCAAAAUCAUCCCUGGAUAAUUUCUUUGGUUUUUCGCCUCUUUCCAUCAUUUAGUCUUUCUUUAUCCCUUUCUGAUAUCUACUGUACAUUUAAUUAAGCUUAGCAGUAUAGAGAUAGAAAACAGGCUGCAAAUAUUAUCCCCAUACCUAACCAAGACUCUCAUUUAAAUCACUGGCAAUGUAAUUCUUGCUUGCCCCACACCAUUGAUUUGCAUAUUUUGGUGGGUAAAACAAUCACCUGAGGACAUGGUUUCAAAUAUAAGCUCUGGCUUUUACUCCCAAGAGAUUCAGAUUAGAAAUAGAUGCAUUUGAUCUGUAUCUUAACUGAGAUACAUUUGAUCAGUUUCAACUGAGAUACAUUUUGAAACUGAUCUGCAUUUAAAAGGCACUCUGAGUAUCUGUGAGGCAGAAGACUUUGGACCAUAAUUUGAGCAACACUACCCUAAACUCAGAUAAAUUGCUCUUUUUACCCAGGAGCUGGGACAGGAUUUAAUAUGAGCCACAGCGUCAGUCCUUCUGUCUACCUCCAGGGGAACUAGUACUCUUUUUUUUUUUUUUUUUUUUUUUUUUGAGACGGAGUCUCGCUCUGUCGCCCAGGCUGGAGUGCAGUGGCGCGAUCUCGGCUCACUGCAAGCUCCGCCUCCCAGGUUCACGCCAUUCUCCUGCCUCAGCCUCCCGAGUAGCUGGGACUACAGGCGCCCGCUACCACGCCCGGCUAAUUUUUUUGUAUUUUUUGUAGAGACGGGGUUUCACCGUGUUAGCCAGGAUGGUCUCGAUCUCCUGACCUCGUGAUCCGCCCGCCUCGGCCUCCCAAAGUGCUGGGAUUACAGGCGUGAGCCACCGCGCCCGGCCGGAACUAGUACUCUUGCAAGAAAAUCACUGGGAGAUGAUUUAGGAGGAGGAGCACAACUUUAGGUUUGAAUAUGAAAUUGGAACAAGUGUACUCAUAGGCUCAGCAUUCACUCUCUUAUCCCAGUCCCCUCCUGCUUUUUGGCUUAUUCUCUUUAUUAUUCAUGCACAAGAUGUUCCCUCUCUUUUCACUCUCACAGAAUCAUGCAUUGUUUUGAGGUUGAAAUUGUCUUUCUUAUCUUUGUAUUCCUUACAGUAAACACACAUAAUAAGGAUUCAACAAUAUUUUUCAAAGGAAAUAAAACAUCAAGCCCAGGGGCCACUGAUUUAAUUGCUCUCUUGAGCAAGUCCAUUCAUGGCUCUAAAUGUCUAUUUACUAUGGUUAUUCAUGAUGUUGAUGAAUGUCUCAGCAACUACCAUUAACUGAGCACUUCUACUCGAUGCAGACUAUUGUGUUGUGCUGAGUUUUACCUUCAUUCUUCGUUUCACUUAGUCCUCAUAACAAUCCUUAGAGGGUGUCAACAGAGGCAACAAAAGGAAAGUGGGCAAACCUUUAAUAUGCAAGGUCUCUUCUCAUUAUGCAGAGAACAAUGGCCACUGAACCUACAUCCAAUCAAACCAAGUCUGCUCGAGCUGCAGAAGUGCAAAUCCUUGGUCCCUAGACAUUAAUCAUUUCCAUACAUGAAUGAGAAGCUUGUGGGGAUAGGUAGUUUUAUUUAUAAGCCAACACAUACUCACUCCCGCUCCCUCCAUACAUACACAUAAGCUUCAGCCUUUUUAAGACACAAGGGUGUCUUUCAGUUUACCUACUUUUUUAGACCUGUGUGGAUAUAAGGAUUACAGGUUUCCUGCCUGUCCAGGAAGAGUGAUCACUUUGCUCUCUAAGAACUUAACUCCCAGGCUUAAUUAUUAUGCGAGUGUGCAAGUGUAUUAAGCAUGUAGGCCAAAAGCAAUUUAAAGUCUAUGCUGCAUUGACUUUCAAAUUAUUUCAUUUCUAAUUCAGAUGCAUGCUUUGUUAAGGCAUUUAUCACUGUUAUAUCAUCAGCCAGAUUGUUCCAUGACUACAGUCCCUCAAAACCUCUAUCCCCACCGGGUCCACAUCAGGAGCACUAAAUGACAUCCCCUACCCUCGUACGUUGAGUCAAGCUUGGAGUCUCCUCCCCAAGUGCCUCACUUCAUCUUUCGAUGUAUCUCCCACUGGUGGAAAAUGUAUCAAACACUGCAUAUCUCAUCAGCAAGACCAUUUGUUUCUCCUUACUAAGGCAUUGUGGUGCUCCUAGAAAGGUGGACACAGUUUCACGCCCGCACUCAGAAUUCCUUGAAACUAGUCAAAUGACUUUCAUCAGUAAAUCAGAUAUUACUUCCUUGAAUAUGUUGGAUUCUUAGAAAAAUUAAUGAAUACAAAGAUUCUAUAGUCUUGGAACGUGAGGAAUUAACAGAUAACCAAAGCAUCUUAAAGCCAUACCUAAUGUCAGUAAUCUAUCCCUUGUAAACGUAAAUCUAACGAUGUCUAUACUAACAGCUUCUAAAGGACCAAUAGUCCUUCCCCAUCCAGACCUCUUAACCUCAAUGAAGACUAUUCCCACCAUACAUGCCACAUAUUAAACCUGUAUCUGGGAGGAGGAGAGAGUUUCUGGGAUAUGGAGAAAGACAAUAUUUUUGCUGUUCCUUUGUCCUUAACAUUUUUAUUUUGUCUUGAUAUUUUUACUUAUUCCAUGAUUUUGCAGCUAAAGAAUGGAGUCGGAGAUGGAGCAGAGAGAAUAUUUGGAAAAUAACUAAAAUUAGCAGGUAUCCCGAUGGAAAAUAUCAUAGAUUUGUGACAAAAGAUGUGUGUCAGUGGGACUCAAGAAAACCUACAGACCCCUUACUAUUAAAAAUGGAACAGUAAUCCCUGAAUAUCAGGGUUUUCUUGAGGAUUAACUAUAAUAAUAACAUAACGGUGUUUGGUAAAGCUGGAAAGUAGCAUAUUCAUUAUUAUGGAUAACAUUUUAAAAGGUUUAAUGCUGAAAUAAGCAACUCGAUCUCCGAAAAUUUUAAUCUGGUUUUAUCAGAUCCUUUAAGCAAAAACAAUGUUAAAAUAAAAUGUAAUUUUGGCUUAAGGGGAAGAUUUCCAACUAUGGUGUGUUUGUGUGUGUGUGUGUGUGUGUGUGUGUAUACUGGUAUAAAUCAAUGAACAUUCAUUCUAGAUUUCAAUAAUUUUACUAAAGAGAAUAAUGUUUGCUUUUGUUAUUUGACAAGGGAGGUGGCAUCGUAAAUACUUCAUUAUGUUGCAUUUUCUCAUCAGUCUCUUUCUCAUCCCAGCAGAUGCAAACUGUGCACUUACAGUCAGUAGCAGAAUAAAAAAUCUGGGCUUUUGGUACUGAUUUGGUAUGACCUUCUUCUUUCUCAUUUUGAAACCUCUUACUGCUGCCAGAGAAACCAACAACACUCUUUGCACUAUGUUACACUCAAGGUAGCUGAAAAACUUCAUCAAUAAGUAUCCUGAGGUUUAAGCCAACCAAUAAAAUUAAAGAAAAGAAAGUCAUUACAGUAGGAUGUGUGAUUUAGGGCCAACAUGAAAAGCAACGAAGAGAACUCUGUAUGUCACUAAUGGAAACUUGGCCAGUUCCUACCUACUAAUAAAUAAUGUGCUGUUAAGCUGAGAGCUAAAUAUUUGGGUGAGGAUUUGGAGAUUCCAGAAAUCCUGAAACUAAUUAAGACAUAAAUAUGAGGAUCCUGAAAAGUUCAAGGAUAGAUUAGGGGGAAUGAAUGCACCAGCAAGAUGACCUCACUCUCCAGCAAACAGGCUCAGGUGAGGUAGGACAUUGAAAUGGAACUGGGUCCCUGGAGGACAUGAAGGAAGCUGAAACAGAGUGUGUGGGAUCUAAGAAGGAAAAAUUUGUAUUUUUGUGUACUUUUGGUUUUCGAUCCUUAUACUGAUCUACUUGUAUCAAGAGGAAUAGAAUAAGUCAAGUUGAUAUGAGAAAAAAGAAAAGUGAUUUUCAAGGGCUUUGGAGGGGGUGGGGGUACACAAUGGUGCAAUCGUUUCUGGCCACUCCUGAGCCAGCAAAUGAGAAAAGAAUCCUCAGGAGUGUUAAUAGCGCCUGGAGUGCUGUGUGUGGAGGAUGAGUGGGCUCAAGCUCAGAGAUUUGCUUUUGUGUUUCAUCUGAAACCAAUCAGUAAGCGAAAAAGCAGAAAGCUCUUUUGGCAUCUAUUCCACCAUUGACACUGGGAGAAGGAAAGAGGAUUUAUACAUAGAGACCCCCAUUAACACUAAUGAAAAGUAGGCGGGUAAAUCCCAUGUGUACGAGGAGCAAACACUGUCCUUUGUGUGGGGGUAAUUAAGAGCUAAAGAGAGCUUACAGUUGCUCACCACUGCACACAUGCUCCUGGUGAAAGCUCCUUCACAGCAGUGUUGCAGUGGCUUUCUUUAGUUUCAAUGGUUGCAGCCUAACAGUUGUUAACCAUCUCUCGCCCUCGUUCCCCCAUAAAGGAGUGAAAGGGAACGAUGUAUUGGAAAUGACAGUAUUUGACACUAUUGGCAAAGGGGCUUUCAAGGAAAACGUACAAGCAAAGAAAGGAGACAUUCAAAACGAACCUAAAUUUAAGCAGAAGAGAAUAAUAAGUGGCUCAAGGGAAAUAACCCUAUACUCAUAACAUCCUUGCCAGCACCCAAUCCUUUGGAACUGUGGCAGGAAGAGGAGCCAUGUGUAAACCAAGAAUAUGGAAUACUAGCAAGCACCACGUCUAAGGUCCAAAGCCAUAAAUAUGGCAAGAAGAUGCUCCAGUGAUGGCAGGAAUGGAGAAGAAAAGGUGAGAGCUAGGACAUCAUUCCAUUUUUACUCUGCAGACCAACCCUGGAAAUGUAGUUCUACAUUCAUUCUGAGUUCCAGAAGUAUCUGAAGGCAGUAAAAAAAAAAAUUAUCUUUUCCUAGGGCAAUGUUCAAGUCUCAAGACCAACUGUUGAACUUAACAGGUUGGACCCAUAUGAACAAAGAACAAAAUGAAAUUUUACAUGUAUGAAAUGCCUGUGAAGUCUUUUAUUUAUUGAUUUUUCUGAUGAAACAUAGGGAACCCUAGUGGAUGUACAGGCUAGAAAGACAUAUUUAAUUCAGCACAAGCUCAAUAAGUAUUCAGAGUAUUUUUGUGUUUGAUUACUCCAGGUCCUUGCACAUAUCCUAUUGUAUGUACGAUAUGAUCUCAGCCUAAUGAUUGAUUGAAGAAAUACAUGAGAUUGAAAGAUAAGUUGAUUCACAAUCGAACUGCCUCCUUAUCUUGAGAGGAAUCAUCUGUUUUGCUUUUCAUAGUUUUGAUCUAGAGUGUAAUUUCCAUUCUAAACAACAAAAUUUUAGAGAAACAUUGAUAAACAAUGGUCCAGGAAAGUGAGAUGUCUAUGAAGAGUAUUAUAUAAAAAUCCACUUGAAUGAAUUGAAGAGAAUGUUUCUAGAGUAGCUAAUACUCAAGACCAAAAAAAAGCAGCUUUUGCAUAGUGAAAGGUUAUCAUGAAGAAUGGAAACUUUUUUUGUGGAUGAGGCACCUUCAUUAUUAGCAGUUAUUAACAGUUUCAGCUGCUUGAACAGAAAGACUCAAUAUAACAGAGUAUGAACUAAGCAGCUCAGAGCUGAUAUGGCAGCUGCAUGUUAUUUGGGAUCAAGGACCUUUCUGUUUGUUCUCUAACACUUCUCAAAAUGUCUCCAUCUCCUGGUCCCAAAUGGCUACUCCCAUUUCCACUGUCACUUCUACACUCUAGCCAGCAGAAGGGAAGAAAAAAAAGGGAAAGAAAAUAUACUCCUUAUCUUUAAGUGCAGGAUCUAAAAGUUUCAAGCGCUUCCUUUCACAUCCAUUGGUCAAAACUUACUUACAUGGCCCUGAUUAGCUGCAGGGGAUAAUAUGAAAUGUAGAUUUUAGCCUCCACUUCUAUGGAAAAUAGGAGACUCAAUAAUAGCAAAAAAAAAAAAGUGGCUAUUUAUUUUACUGUCACAUAUAUAGCACAUACAUCAUUAGCUAGAAGUUUGUGAAUGAUUUCAGGUAGGUAACUUAACAUCUCUAUCUCAACUAAUUUUAAGAAGGGAUUUCUAGCAAUUAGAUAUAUAAACUAUAAUAUUGAUAUAUAUGUGUUACAUGUAAAAUGUGUAUUAUAUUCAUAAUGCUCAUAACAGCAUUAUUCAUAAUAGCUAAAAUGUGGAAACAAAUCAAAUGCCCAACUGAUUAUCACACAACUGAUGAAUGGUAAAUAAAAUGUGGUAUAUUUAUAAAAUAAAGUAUUAUAUGGCAAUAAAAAGGAAUGAAGUACUGACACAUACUAAAACAUGAUGAAAUUUGAAAAACAUGCUAAAGAAGCCAGCUACAAAAGAUCAUAUAUUUUAUGAUUUCCUUUAUAUGUACUGUCCAGAGAGUAGGCAAAUCUACAAACACAUAAAGUACAUUAGUGUUUGCUUUAGGUUGUAGAGGACUUGGUGACAAACUGAAUAAGAGUGUUCUCAAAUGGAUUCUGCUUGUAACAGUUGUGCAACUCUGUGAAUAUACUAAAAAGUACUGAAUUGUCCAUUUUUAAAUGGAUAGAUGUAAUGAUAGUUGAAUUAGAUUUCAAUAAAGCUGUUUUUAAAAAGUUAAAAAAUGCUAAUAUUCUAUAGCAAAGAUCUCAUGUAGGUUACAUCUGACUCCAGUAUGCAGCCCAAAAAGAAAAUAUAAAGGUUUUUAAUGAAUAAACUUACAUAUGUGAACCACCCGUUUUUAGGAAAUAUGAGAGAUUUGUCCUAAACGUGAAAAAUCUGAUUUCACUUGUCACAUGUUAACACCUGCACUAAAGGUGUGUGUGUGUGCAUGUGUGUGUGUGUAUGAGUGGGAGGAAGGAUAUAUGCAGAAACAUGUACUAUGUCCAGCUUCCCUUUUCUCUAGCCACUCAAUAACACUUAAUAUUUUUGAGUGCAUAUACCAAGAACUAUACUAAAAAUAUCAAAUACAUUAUCUCACUUAAUCUUUAUAGAAAUCUCAUGAAACUACAAAUCUGAAGACUAAAAAACGUAUGCAUCUAGCAUGAAGUUACUUAGGUAGUAGGUUAGAUAGCUGGGGUUUGAACUCAGAUUCACCGAGUUCAAACGUUGAUCAACUUGCAAUAUCACAUGCAACUUCUAUUAUGCAAGGUGUGCAGUGAGAGUUCAAGAAAGUCCCUUGGUGCAUAUUACCAAUUUGAAAAUAUGGAAUGAUGUUGGAAAUGUGUGAAGAUGAUUGAUUCAUUGAGCUCUUUCAUUGGCCCAAAGACUUUCUUCAUUUAAUUUUGUGUGUGUGUAAGAGAGAGACAGGGUCUCACUCUUUUGCUCAGACUGGAGUGCAGUGGCAUGAUCACAGCUCACUGCAGCCUCCAUCUCUCCAGUCUCAGGUGAUUCUUCCACCUCAAACUCCUGAGUAGCUGAGACUACAGGCUCAUGCCAUCACACUCAGCUAAUUGUGUUUUUGUUGUUGUUUGUUUGAUUUUGUAGAGACAGGGUGUUGUUAUGUCACCCAGGCUGGUCUGGAACUCCUGGGCUCAAGCCAUCUGCCCACUUUGACCCCCCACAGAGCUGGGAUAACAGGUGUGAGCACUGUACCUGGCCACUUCAUUUAAUUUUUAGUUGAUAAACUUAUUUUUUAGGGCAGUGUUAGGUUCACAGCAAAAUUGAACAGUAAGUACAGAAGAUUUCCACAUACUUCACCUCCCUAAAACACUCAGCCAUCCCUAUAGUCAACUAGAGUGCUACAUUUGUUAUAGUUGUUAAACUAAUGUGGACACAUCAUUAUCACCCAAACUCCAUAGUUGACAUUACUGUUCAUUCUUUGUGUUACAUAUUCUGUGUGUAUUGAAAAAUGUGUAAUGACAUGAAUCUACCAUUAUAUUAUCAUGCAAAAUAGUUUCACUGCCCUGAACAAUCGUCUGUGGUCUCCCAAUUUAUCCUUUCUCUACUCCCCAAAUCCUGGCAACCAUGGAUUCUUUUAGUUUUGCUUUUUCCAGAAUGGGAUAGUUGAAAUUAAACAGUAUACAGCCUUUUCAGAUUUACUACUUUCCCUUAGUAAUAUGCAUUUAGGGAUCCUCUUGUAUUUUUGAGGCAGGGUAGAUUAUUUUUUAGUACUGAAUAAUACUCCAUUAUAUAGAUAUACCACGGUUUAUCCAUUUCCCUGUUGAUGGACAUCUUCACUGAUUCCAUAUUUUGACAUUAUAAAGAAAGUUACUAUAAACACACAAGUUCAUUUUUUUGUGAGGAUAUUCAUUUUUAACUGAUUUGGGUAAAUACCAAGGAACAUGAUUGCUGGAUUAUAUGGUAAGAAUAUGUUUAGUUUUGUAAAAACCUGCCUCUCAAGAGGUGGUACCAUCUUGUACUCUCACUAGCAAUGAAUGAGUAUUCUUGUACACCCAUCCUCACAAGGAUUUAGUGUCACUGUCUUGGAUUUUUGCCAUUCUAAUAGGUGUUUUUGAGUCCUUAUUAUUGUUUUAAUUUGAAAUUUCUUGAUGAUGUAUGAUAUUGGGCAUCCUUUCUCAUGCGUAUUUGCCAUCUGUAUUCAUGAAUAUGUAUUCAUUGAUGAGCUGUUUGUUCAGAUCUUUUGCUCAUGUUUUGGUUGAGUUGUUGGUUUUCUCCAAGGAUUUUUUUUUUAAUGUUUAAACUAGAAGCAUGAGCUGUUAGACUCUCCUUUAACCCAGAGAUGUUAUAGAUAAGACACUAGCCUUGAAAAUACUAAUUAUCUAUUUUUUAAAGAAUUAGAACAAUUGAGAUAGGGAUUGCCUUGCAUAUAUGGAUUGACAAGAUGGUAACUAGAGGCUAUAAUUUACUUUUCUUUGGGAUGCCAUCCCAGACUUAAUAGAAUAGCAGAUUUUAAGGCAGACCUAAUUAUCAUAGACCUACCUAUUCAAAAUAACUUGGUCAUAAGGAAUUUACUGAAUUUAAGCUGUGACCAUCAAGAAAAUAUAGUAUCCUGGAAUUUCAAUAGUAGUCAGGAUCAUUUUCUAGACUCAAGAUGUUAAGGGAUCAGCAAACACCGCUUUUCCUGGGCCACAGAAACUUUAUUGAAAAGCCUGUGAAAUUAUCUUCUCUACUCCAAAGAUAUCGUCUAGGUCUUGUCUUUCUACUCCUGUCCUGAACAUUCAGUUUAAAGCAGUCCAUUUUACUCUAUUUGGAUUUUAUUAAAAGGCUUUGGAAUACCUCAGCAACGCUGACCUAGAAACUCUUCAUAGUGUUCUGCCGUUUGUAAUCGUUUCUAGUCUACGCUCUGUGAUGCCGUGGAAGUUCAGCUCUGAAUCAAGCUCAGCCUAAAGUUCUAGAACAUGGUACCACUUUUGGUUCCACCAGCCUCCAUUUCCCGAUUGAGAAUAGGACAAUGAGAAUCGGAGUCAGGGACAACACUAUGUUAUUAACUUUUGACAAUCAGAGUCAGCUUUUGGAGAAUAAGUUACCUUUUUAUGAAACUCAAAUUAAAUUUGAACAACAUCAGUAAUGCCAACUUGACAGAGUUUAGGUAUGGUCUGACGAAAAACACUCACUAUUUUUAGAAUACUUUUCAUAUUUAAAUACCAGUACUAUGAUUGAGUUGGUUAAACAUGAUCAAAGGGUGUGUGUGUGUGUGUGUGUGUGUGUGUGUGUGGUGUAUAUAAAUAUUUUAUAAAUAUAAAAAGAUAAAUGCGUAUAACUUUUAUUUUUAUGAAAAUACAUUUAUUGUUUCCCAUAGGUUCGCCUUUCCUACAGAAAACCCAAAUUCUUCAAUAGCUAAAAAGGUUUACUGUACUCUUGUUACAAACAUGAUCCAUGUUUCUAUACCUAUAUUUAAGUAUGAGAACAGCCAACUACGGAAACACUUUGGCCAUUCCCGUCAGUGCAAUGUGGAGUCCCACAUGGGCGCCUUCUGCUAGUUCACCCCCUGGUGGUAACACAAAAUUCAUUCAUGAGCUAUGGCACCAUUUCUCCUUUGUAGUCCUACCCACUAACAUCUGUCAGAUACUACUCACUUUUCAAAGCCCAACACCCAUAAAGUUAUAUAUCAAAAGCUUGGAGGUCCAAAAUUUCAGGAAUCUUGGUUCUAAUGUAAAGCAAAGUAUGUCAAAUGGAACAUAGUAAUACUUGCUCUUACCAUCCUUUGAUUCAAGUGAAUUUAGUACAGGAAUGCAUAGGCAAUCUCUUUAACAAUUGUUCUAAUUUUCCCUCAAUAUCAUUUUUUGCUAAUCUUAUCUUUUGCUUUUCUGAUUUUAAGUAACCUCUUCUGUUUUUACAAACUGGUUGGGCCUUUAAUAUAUUUAUUAUUUCCACAGCUACAGUUUUUCAAGCACCGCUGUCAUGGAUAAAAAUGCAUAGUACAGAUAGCAGUUUAUUCAAAAUAAAACAUUAAUGGAAACGAAAAGCUUGAAUUGUAUGACACAGCUUGUAUGAAGAGUUUGAUGUGUUAUCUUUAGGCCUUUCAGACAUUUCAUAAUCAGAUGCUCUUCUAAUACUGAACACCCUCCCUUGGCUAUCUCCUCAUCUGUCCUAUGAAACCUGGUUCUCUAAAUGCUUCUGUUAUCCAACUCUCUUUAUAUAAACUUCUGUUGUUAAUUAUUAGAGCAAAUAUUAAAAACUAUUAUAGAUAUUCGUGAUCCUGUCAUUAGGCAAAUCUUUGGCCAGCCUCCC
rnacentral:lncRNA from 1 species